AUUUAGCAUGCCUGUGAGACUUCCCUCCAGUUUAUGAGUCACCAAACAUCAAACCAGGAAACUAAGAACACCACUGUUUCAAGGCUGUGGACAAUCACCAGUGACAACAUUGCUGCUGAGACUGAGAGAGACUUCUAUAGUCAUGAUAAGGUGAAAAUGGAUAUGCAAGUUGAGAAGACAAGAGAUAUCAGAAACCUUCACUGGAUCCCAGAGUCACUCCACCAACAAGAGGAAACACUUUAUUCCAGGAACAAUGGGCGUGAGGCUGAACUACACCCAGUUCAUUGCAGUGCACACACACACACACACACACACACAAACACACACACACACACACACACACACACAUUGCUCAUUAAUAGUAGAUAUGGAUUAUGUUUUUCAUUACAGAAGAAGCCUUUAUUUUCAUCACAUAUUCAUUACAGCAGAGUGGAACUUCUCUUCUGAACCAUUCACAGUAUUUGGGAAAAUGGCACAUCUGUAUAACUGUUUAUUCUGUACUUUAUACUUUAUACUUUGUACUGUGGCUUCAAUUUCCUUUAUUACUAGUACUGUUCUUGUUUAUAUAUUCUAUAUUUUUUAAACUGUAUUUUUAUUAUCUUU